rnacentral:rRNA from 1 species
CAUGCUUUACACAUGCAAGUCGAACGGUAACAGGUCUUCGGAUGCUGACGAGUGGCGAACGGGUGAGUAAUGCAUCGGAACGUGCCCAGUCGUGGGGAUAACGCAGCGAAAGCUGUGCUAAUACCGCAUACGAUCUAUGGAUGAAAGCGGGGAUCGCAAGACCUCGCGCGAUUGGAGCCGGCCGAUGUCAGAUUAGCUAGUUGGUGGGUAAAGGCUCACCAAGCCAACGAUCUGUAGCUGGUCUGAGAGGACGACCAGCCACACUGGAACUGAGACACGGUCCAGACUCCUACGGGAGGCAGCAGUGGGGAAUUUUGGACAAUGGACGCAAGUCUGAUCCAGCCAUUCCGCGUGCAGGAUGAAGGCCCUCGGGUUGUAAACUGCUUUUGUACGGAACGAAAAGGUCUCUAUUAAUACUAGGGGCUCAUGACGGUACCGUAAGAAUAAGCACCGGCUAACUACGUG